rnacentral:rRNA from 1 species
UACGGAGGGGGCUAGCGUUGUUCGGAAUUACUGGGCGUAAAGCGCGCGUAGGCGGACCUGCAAGUCGGGGUGAAAGCCCGAGGCUCAACCUCGGAACUGCCUUCGAUACUGCGGGUCUCGAGUCCGGGAGAGGUGAGUGGAAUUCCUAGUGUAGAGGUGAAAUUCGUAGAUAUUAGGAAGAACACCAGUGGCGAAGGCGGCUGCACUGGCCGGUACUGACGCUGAGGCGACGAAAGGCGUGGGGAGCAAACAGG